AGGAGCUGUGCCUGAAUGCCCAAGGACCACUUUGAUAGAGUGACUAAUGAGGGCUAAAAUCCCUCCGGCUCCUU
rnacentral:tRNA from 1 species